rnacentral:rRNA from 1 species
AUUGAACGCUGGCGGCAUGCCUUACACAUGCAAGUCGAACGGCAGCGGACCUUCGGGUGCCGGCGAGUGGCGAACGGGUGAGUAAUAUAUCGGAACGUACCUUUCAGUGAGGGAUAACGUAGCGAAAGUUACGCUAAUACCGCAUAUUCUGUGAGCAGGAAAGCAGGGGAUCGCAAGACCUUGCGCUGAUUGAGCGGCCGAUAUCAGAUUAGCUAGUUGGUGAGGUAAAGGCUCACCAAGGCGACGAUCUGUAGCGGGUCUGAGAGGAUGAUCCGCCACACUGGAACUGAGACACGGUCCAGACUCCUACGGGAGGCAGCAGUGGGGAAUUUUGGACAAUGGGCGCAAGCCUGAUCCAGCCAUGCCGCGUGAGUGAAGAAGGCCUCGGUUGUAAG